rnacentral:rRNA from 1 species
GCUUAACACAUGCAAGUCGAGGGGCAGCAUGGUCUUAGCUUGCUAAGGCCGAUGGCGACCGGCGCACGAGUGAGUAACACGUAUCCAACCUGCCGUCUACUCUUGGACAGCCUUCUGAAAGGAAGAUUAAUACAAGAUGGCAUCAUGAGUCCGCAUGUUCACAUGAUUAAAGGUAUUCCGGUAGACGAUGGGGAUGCGUUCCAUUAGAUAGUAGGCGGGGUAACGGCCCACCUAGUCUUCGAUGGAUAGGGGUUCUGAGAGGAAGGUCCCCCACAUUGGAACUGAGACACGGUCCAAACUCCUACGGGAGGCAGCAGUGAGGAAUAUUGGUCAAUGGGCGAGAGCCUGAACCAGCCAAGUAGCGUGAAGGAUGACUGCCCUAUGGGUUGUAAACUUCUUUUAUAAAGGAAUAAAGUCGGGUAUGGAUACCCGUUUGCAUGUACUUUAUGAAUAAGGAUCGGCUAACUCCGUGCCAGCAGCCGCGGUAAUACGGAGGAUCCGAGCGUUAUCCGGAUUUAUUGGGUUUAAAGGGAGCGUAGAUGGAUGUUUAAGUCAGUUGUGAAAGUUUGCGGCUCAACCGUAAAAUUGCAGUUGAUACUGGAUAUCUUGAGUGCAGUUGAGGCAGGCGGAAUUCGUGGUGUAGCGGUGAAAUGCUUAGAUAUCACGAAGAACUCCGAUUGCGAAGGCAGCCUGCUAAGCUGCAACUGACAUUGAGGCUCGAAAGUGUGGGUAUCAAACAGGAUUAGAUACCCUGGUAGUCCACACGGUAAACGAUGAAUACUCGCUGUUUGCGAUAUACUGCAAGCGGCCAAGCGAAAGCGUUAAGUAUUCCACCUGGGGAGUACGCCGGCAACGGUGAAACUCAAAGGAAUUGACGGGGGCCCGCACAAGCGGAGGAACAUGUGGUUUAAUUCGAUGAUACGCGAGGAACCUUACCCGGGCUUAAAUUGCAGAUGAAUUACGGUGAAAGCCGUAAGCCGCAAGGCAUCUGUGAAGGUGCUGCAUGGUUGUCGUCAGCUCGUGCCGUGAGGUGUUGGCUUAAGUGCCAUAACGAGCGCAACCCUUGUUGUCAGUUACUAACAGGUUCCGCUGAGGACUCUGACAAGACUGCCAUCGUAAGAUGUGAGGAAGGUGGGGAUGACGUCAAAUCAGCACGGCCCUUACGUCCGGGGCUACACACGUGUUACAAUGGGGGGUACAGAGGGCCGCUACCACGCGAGUGGAUGCCAAUCCCCAAAACCUCUCUCAGUUCGGACUGGAGUCUGCAACCCGACUCCACGAAGCUGGAUUCGCUAGUAAUCGCGCAUCAGCCACGGCGCGGUGAAUACGUUCCCGGGCCUUGUACACACCGCCCGUCAAGCCAUGGGAGCCGGGGGUACCUGAAGUGCGUAACCGCGAGGAGCGCCCUAGGGUAAAACUGGUGACUGGGGC